GUGAGUCAUCGAAUCUUUGAACGCACAUUGCGCUUCCUGGUAUUCCGGGGAGCAUGCUCGUUUCAGAAUCAUUAAACUCUCAAAAACCAGAUGGUUCUCGGACCGUUUGGGGCUUGGAUGUGGGCGGCACACUGUUCCUCUGGAACGGCCGCUUCAAUAUGAUUGUGUGUAUCUCGGUGAACCAUCUCGGGAGCAUAAGAGCAACAGAUUUCUAUUUCUCUUGUGGCCCGCGUCUGGUUUGUUUGGACUCCCACUCCAUCCAUCAGACAGGAUGCGCAUCGUUUUGAUGUGUAUUCUGAUUACUUGGUCUGAAAUCGAGCAAGAAAACCCGCUGAACUUAA
rnacentral:rRNA from 1 species